UACGGAGGGUGCGAGCGUUGUCCGGAAUCAUUGGGCGUAAAGGGCGCGUAGGUGGCCCGGUCAGUCUUUGGUGAAAGCGCGGGGCUCAACCCUGCGUCGGCCAGGGAUACUGCCGCGGCUCGAGCACUGUAGAGGCAGGCGGAAUUCCGGGUGUAGCGGUGGAAUGCGUAGAGAUCCGGAAGGAACACCAGUGGCGAAAGCGGCUUCCUGGUCCAGCACCGACGUUCAGGCACGAAAGCGUGGGGAGCAAACAGG
rnacentral:rRNA from 1 species